GUGCUUGCUUUGGCAGCACAUAUUCUAAAAUUUGAACAAUACAGAGAAGACAGCCUGACCCCUGAUCGGUGCUGACACACAAAUUCGUGAAGUGUUCCAUAUUUUU